rnacentral:rRNA from 1 species
UACGGAGGGUGCAAGCGUUAUCCGGAUUUACUGGGUUUAAAGGGUGCGUAGGUGGGCAGUUAAGUCAGUGGUGAAAUCUCCGAGCUUAACUCGGAAACUGCCAUUGAUACUAUCUGUCUUGAAUAUCCUGGAGGUGAGCGGAAUAUGUCAUGUAGCGGUGAAAUGCUUAGAUAUGACAUAGAACACCAAAUUGCGAAGGCAGCUCACUACGGGAUUAUUGACACUGAGGCACGAAAGCGUGGGGAUCAAACAGG